rnacentral:lncRNA from 1 species
GGCCCCGCCCUCCAGGCUGCAGACGUCCCUUCCCUCCCCCCGCUCCCUACGCGGCCCCGCCUCUUUCCCGGCCAGGUUCCACCCCUCCGGUGGAGGCUCCCGUUCCCUUCGCGGCCCCGGCCCCUGAACCCGUCCAAUCCCCGCCCCCGAAGCCUCGCGGUCCCUCCCCUAGGCCGGGGCGCCCGCCUCUCUACAGGCGGGCGUUGCCGCCGCCGCCGCCGCCGCCACCCGCGCCUCGGCCUGUGCGGGGCCGAGGCCGCCCUUGCUCCGGUCCCUCCCCCGGCGGCCUGGCGCCUCCCUCGCGCCCUCCCCGCCGCGGUGACUCACGGAGCGGGAGGCGGAGGCUACGCUGAGGCGGAGGCGGCCCGGCUGCUGCUGCUCCUGCUGCUCCCGCUGCUGCUGCCGCCGCCGCCGAGAAGAGCCGAGCCGAGAGCGCGCCCCGGAGUAGGCUGGGUCCGCAGCCCCGCGCUCCGGCCCCGGGGCUGGCCCAGGAUUCUCUCAUCUCUGCCAAGUCCUGGUGGGUCAAUUCUUUCUCUGCCAAUUGAGGACAGAAGGCACACGGAAGCAGGGCAGCACCUCCUUUUUUCCUAG